CCUAGAUCUAUAAACAGUAGCAAAUAAAAGGCAGUGGGGAACUUUAUUUUGAUGUACUAAAGACUUAAACACUUAAGCAAUGUUGGAUCAUUUAUUGUUCCAGGUGAGCUAUUCUGGCUUGGUAUUCAGAUACACUAACCUGUAACUCAAAUAGAACAUUGGAAGGAUUAUUCAGUGUGAAUUCGUGUUAAUUCAAAGUGAAUUCUAAAUUUUAGGCCAAUUUGAAAUGUCCUUGGAUUUGACAUUUUACGUGGAUAACUUUUUAAGCCUUUAAAAUGACUUAAAUGAACACUAUAGGGUCAGGAACAUAAACAUU